UCUCCGUUGGUGAACCAGCGGAGGGAUCAUUACCGAGUUUACAACUCCCAAACCCCAUGUGAACCUUACCAAACGUUGCUUCGGCGGGAUGCCCCGGGCGCGGGCCGCAAGGCCUCAGCCCCGAAACCAGGCGCCCGCCGGAGGCCCAAACCAAACUCUUGUUUUUGUAGAAUCUUCUGAGUGGCCUUUUAGGCAAAAAAUGAAUCAAAACUUUCAGCAACGGAUCUCUUGGUUCUG
rnacentral:misc_RNA from 1 species